GUGGGGAAUUUUGGACAAUGGGGGAAACCCUGAUCCAGCGACGCCGCGUGAAGGAUGACGGCCUUCGGGUUGUAAACUUCUUUUGGAGGGGACGAAUAAAUUGACGGUACCCUCAGAAAAAGCCACGGCUAACUACGUGCCAGCAGCCGCGGUAAUACGUAGGUGGCGAGCGUUACUCGGAAUUACUAGGCGUAAAGCGUAUGUAGGCGGUUGUAUAAGUCUAUGGUGAAAUUUCCUGGCUCAACUGGGAAGGGACAUAGAUACUGUAUGGCUUGAGUGUUGGAGGGGGAGACGGAAUUCCUGGUGUAGCGGUGAAAUGCGUAGAUAUCAGGAGGAACACCGAUGGCGAAAGCAGUCUCCUGGCCAAAUACUGACGCUGAGGUACGAAAGCUAGGGUAGCAAACAGGAUUAGAAACCCUGGUAGUCC
rnacentral:rRNA from 1 species